AAGAAGCUGUUGCUGCUACCACUCAAGAGUCAAUUCGAGAGGCUGCAAAGGAAGGUAUCUCUCACUUUAGUGCUGCUGCUGUGAUCAAGGAAGAAAUUAAAUCUCUCGAAGAUGCCAUAAAGAUCCAAAGCGUCGAAGUUGGCCUCAUCAAAGAUCACUACGCAGAUUUCAAAUCCAAGUGUUUACCUUAGAUUUUAUUUAUGUUGUUUAAUC
rnacentral:lncRNA from 1 species